rnacentral:rRNA from 1 species
UACAGAGGGGGCAAGCGUUGUUCGGAAUUACUGGGCGUAAAGGGCGCGUAGGCGGCCCGCUAAGUCGAACGUGAAAUCCCCGGGCUUAACCCGGGAACUGCGUCCGAUACUGGCAGGCUUGAAUCCGGGAGAGGGAUGUGGAAUUCCAGGUGUAGCGGUGAAAUGCGUAGAUAUCUGGAGGAACACCGGUGGCGAAGGCGGCAUCCUGGACCGGUAUUGACGCUGAGGCGCGAAAGCUAGGGGAGCAAACGGGG